UUAGAGUUUGAUACUGGCUCAGAUUGAACGCUGGCGGCAGGCCUAACACAUGCAAGUCGAGCGGUAACAGAUCCAGCUUGCUGGAUGCUGACGAGCGGCGGACGGGUGAGUAAUGCAUAGGAAUCUGCCCGAUAGUGGGGGAUAACCUGGGGAAACCCAGGCUAAUACCGCAUACGUCCUACGGGAGAAAGGGGGCUCCGGCUCCCGCUAUGGGAUGAGCCUAUGUCGGAUUAGCUAGUUGGUGAGGUAACGGCUCACCAAGACCACGAUCCGUAGCUGGUCUGAGAGGAUGAUCAGCCACAUCGGGACUGAGACACGGCCCGAACUCCUACGGGAGGCAGCAGUGGGGAAUAUUGGACAAUGGGGGCAACCCUGAUCCAGCCAUGCCGCGUGUGUGAAGAAGGCCCUCGGGUUGUAAAGCACUUUCAGCGAGGAAGAACGCCUAGCGGUUAAUCCC
rnacentral:rRNA from 1 species